rnacentral:rRNA from 1 species
UACAGAGGGGGCAAGCGUUAUUCGGAAUUAUUGGGCGUAAAGGGCGCGUAGGCGGCCGAUCAAGUCGGGGGUGAAAGCCUGUGGCUCAACCACAGAAUUGCCUUCGAUACUGUUUGGCUUGAGACCGGAAGAGGUUAGUGGAACUGCGAGUGUAGAGGUGAAAUUCGUAGAUAUUCGCAAGAACACCAGUGGCGAAGGCGGCUGACUGGUCCGGUUCUGACGCUGAGGCGCGAAAGCGUGGGGAGCAAACAGG